rnacentral:rRNA from 2 species
GACGAACCGUCCGAACGUUAUUCGGAAUUACUGGGCUUAAAGGGUGCGUAGGCGGCGCAGAAAGUAGGGUGUGAAAUCCCUCGGCUCAACCGAGGAACUGCGCCCUAAACUACUGUGCUUGAGGAAGAUAGAGGUGAGCGGAACUUAGGGUGGAGCGGUGAAAUGCGUUGAUAUCCUAAGGAACACCGGUGGCGAAGGCGGCUCACUGGAUCUUUUCUGACGCUGAGGCACGAAAGCUAGGGGAGCGAACGGG